rnacentral:rRNA from 1 species
UACAGAGGUCUCAAGCGUUGUUCGGAUUCAUUGGGCGUAAAGGGUGUGUAGGUGGCGCCGUAAGUCGGGUGUGAAAUUUCGGGAGCUUAACUCCGAAAACUGCAUUUCGAUACUGCGGUGCUUGAGGACUGGGAGAGGAGACUGGGAAUUCAUGGUGUAGCAGUGAAAAUGCGUAGAGAUCAUGAGGGAAGACCAGUGGCGAAGGCGGGGUCUCUGGACAGUUCCUGACACUGAGACACGAAGGCCAGGGGAGCAAACGGG